rnacentral:rRNA from 1 species
UACGGGGGGAGCAAGCGUUGUUCGGAUUUACUGGGCGUAAAGGGCGCGUAGGCGGCGCAACAAGUCACUUGUGAAAUCUCCGGGCUUAACCCGGAGCGGUCAAGUGAUACUGUCGUGCUAGAGUGCAGAAGGGGCAACUGGAAUUCUCGGUGUAGCGGUGAAAUGCGUAGAUAUCGAGAGGAACACCUGCGGCGAAGGCGGUUCUCUGGGCAUUACCUGACGCUGAGGAGCGAAAGUGUGGGGAGCGAACAGG